rnacentral:lncRNA from 1 species
GCAAGAGGUGCGUAUUGUAACUCUAUGUCUAACUCCUGUUGAAGUUAAUCUAGGGAAUACCGUUUUCAGUAGAAUGCUGAUUAUUUCAUUUAUUAUCUUCACAGCUACUUUAAAGGAAGCAAAACAAAGGUUUUUAAGGCCAAUUAGCCAGAAAAAAAUGGAUGAACACCUCCUGGAACCUCUGAAGGUGUGUCACUGGAGUCCCUGACUAUAGUGCACCAAGAGACAACCCAAGAAGAUGAUGGGGAGAGGGAUAUAAUGAAACCACAACUCUCACAGGACACCUGCUUGCACUUCCAGACAGAGAAGUUUGAGGUUUCACAGAAAAAGUUUUAUCUUUCAGAUUUUUAUAUUUCAUAGAAAAAUCAAGAUGACCAUGCAAAGCAGACCUUAAAGAAUUAACCAAAGCCCAGAUUUUCUGCAAAGAGGCUAUUUUAAUAGGAUUAUUUUUAUCAAGCUAUUAAAAGCUUAAAAAGCCCAUGCUGACUGAAUAUAUUGCUCUGCUCUGAAUUCUGAAAAAGUCCAUGGAUUCUUCAACAUUUGCAUUUAUGCUAAAGAUACAAGUUCAGGUUCCAGCAAAAGUUUGUUUUUGUCUAAGGUGUUGGGGCUUUGAGCUCCAGUGAAAGCUCCUCUUCAAAAGCUCCUCUUCACAAGUAAUGCUUGGAACGUCUUCUUCCAGCUCUUAACUUUCCAUUUGGCUAAUCUUGUCUCAGUCAGGUAAUAAGCUAUUAACACUUCAUUACUAAGAUAGUACUGUCAGUACUAAAAUGUAAUUGAUCCCCACAGUCACCGUUUAUAUCUGCUACACAGUAAAGUGGACAUUAUCUUUUUGUAACACUUGCUUCAACUGACAAGUAUUUUGCAUGAUGUUCUUUACAUUUUCUUAUGCUAAUGAUAUUCCUGCACUUCCCUCCAUAAUAC